GAGCUGAUCGCUUCCACAGAAUCCUUUAAUAAUGGAAGCCCUACAUAGGGCAAGAAGACCUGGAAUCUGCCUGCAAGAGUCAUCCCCCAUUCCUCUUGGGAACCACCAGGAUAAAGAAACUAAGGCACAGGGAAGUUAAGUGACUUGCCCAGGGUCGCACAGCUAGCAAGUGAAAGAACCUGGAUUCCAUGGUGGGUGAUCAAGAACCAGACUGACCUCUUAACCAUACAAGCCUUUUCUUAAAAACUCCGAGAAAGUGGACAGAGUGAGCCCAGAACAACCCUGGAAAUCCACCCAGGUGUUUCCAAGAAUAAUCUUCAGCUUCAACACCAACCAAAAGAUUUCCCAACAAAGGGAGCUUUCUCUUUGGAAGAGCAAUUCUGAUUGAACUGAAUGUCCUCUGUAUAAGGGCAUAAGUCAAGUGCAAGGUAAGCCCUGCAUCAGCAAAAAUCAUUAUCA